rnacentral:lncRNA from 1 species
CGUUAGCUCAAUUUGAUGGAUGGCACCUCUCUCGUGAAUGGUAGGGGUGAUAAUGGAGGCCGGUAAUCCCUAACCUGAUGAGAACCAACCCAAGACAUAGGUUCUGGUUAUGAAAACUAAACUCAAUAAGCUAUCACUUGGGUCUAGGUUUCAACAUUAGACUUGAAGUCAUACUUGGUUGGAUUUAGAUUUAAGUAAAUCUAUACCCAGGACAUCGAAAUCAAAAAUUAUUAGAUAUACAUACAAACAUUCACAUAAAUAUUUAAAUAUGUACUUAUGCACAUGUUUCUACUUUCUAUGUGUAGGUAUCAAUUUUUUUUUCUUUUAUUCAUAAAAGAAAUAAGAUCAAAUAGAGAGUGGCCAAAUUCUAACCAACCUUGUUCACCAAAUACUUGUUAUGAUUUGAUAUUUAUAUCAAGCUCGACUAUUUCAGGAUCUUUUCAUGCUUCAUGUUUUUGAUCGCAUGGAUGCUAAAAUAAUAAAGGUAAUAAUUGAAUAAUAUACUAUUAAUAUUUAACAAAAGUUUUAGAUAAUUAAUUUGUUAAAUAUCUGAUGUCUAUGUUUCGAUCGCAGAUGGAAUUUUAAUUAGGUUUGGAUUUGGAUUUGGAUCUACCAAAGAGAUUUUGGGUUCUCAUGUUGACAUUAUGCUCCAUGGAGCACUCUUGGUUUCGUUACAUUUCUGAACCAAAUUGGGUCCACCUAACUUAAUUCACAAUACAAUAACCCAUGCAUAUUAAAAUCAAACUGCCAAACCUAUUGGACCCACUUGAAUCAAUACAUCAAAGCUAACCUGACUAAUCUUUUAGGGGCCCAAUAUGAUUUAAACGCAACACCUCCUCUAUCAAAGUGCCACCUUGGGUCUAUUACUGAAGAAAACACUACAUUUGUGAACAGAUAUCCUUUCUUUCUUCCUUUUUUUGUUUAAGUACAUCUAAUGUCAAAACUGACCAAUCUUGUUAGAAUUUUUUUGCAUGAAUACCUUCUUAAAUAUCAAUUUUUACAUGAAUACCCUCUCAAUAUUGAUAUUUGUAUGUAUAUCAUCGUAAAAUACUUGUUUUGCUAUUCUACCCCUUUUUUUUCUUAUUUUUGUAUAUAUACUCACGCUAUCUAACGUUGUUAAAAAAUUAACGAUUUCAAAUUAAAAUAACUUAAAUAAUUUUAAUGAAUAGAUGUGCAAAAAAAAAUAUUUAUAAAGAGAUCGUGAUGGAGGACAAAAAAAAUGUAAUUUUAAAAUUCUAUUUUAUUUUUAGUUAAAAUAAAUAUGGUUUUUAUUAAUGGUGUUAGAAAAACGGUUAAAUUAAGGAUAUUUGUGCAAAAACAGAAAGUAUAGAAAUAAAUAUAAAUUUGAAGAGAAUAUUCAUGUAAAUUUAAAUUUUUAGAAGAAUAUUCAUGCCAAAAAAAUAUAUUUUUUUAUUUUUUUGCCUCAUGAGUCAUGACCACCUGAACGCCCUUUUAACCAAAUGCACAAACAAACCAGAAAAACUCUCCUCUUUUCCCUACCGCUCAAUCCGGAGGUGAUGGAUGAGGUGGCCAACCACCCUGAAAGAAUCUCUUGACACCAAGAACCAACGGAGCCCACUUCUCACCAUCACUUUUUUUUUUUCAGAAGCUUCAGAAACUCCAAAAGUCAAGAACCCAACACCUCAUUGCAUCCUAUAAUAAGAGACCAAAAGAGAGAGAGAGAGAGAGAGAGAGAGAGA